rnacentral:rRNA from 1 species
GAUGAACGCUGGCGGCGUGCCUAAUACAUGCAAGUCGAGCGAACAGACGAGGAGCUUGCUCCUCUGACGUUAGCGGCGGACGGGUGAGUAACACGUGGAUAACCUACCUAUAAGACUGGGAUAACUUCGGGAAACCGGAGCUAAUACCGGAUAAUAUAUUGAACCGCAUGGUUCAAUAGUGAAAGACGGUUUUGCUGUCACUUAUAGAUUGAUCCGCGCCGCAUUAGCUAGUUGGUAAGGUAACGGCUUACCAAGGCAACGAUGCGUAGCCGACCUGAGAGGGGGAUCGGCCACACUGGAACUGAGACACGGUCCAGACUCCUACGGGAGGCAGCAGUAGGGAAUCUUCCGCAAUGGGCGAAAGCCUGACGGAGCAACGCCGCGUGAGUGAUGAAGGUCUUCGGAUCGUAAAACUCUGUUAUUAGGGAAGAACAAAUGUGUAAGUAACUAUGCACGUCUUGACGGUACCUAAUCAGAAAGCCACGGCUAACUACGUG